CCAAAUCAACGGCCGAAAGGCCUUGCCCUAGGGGGGGAGACUCCCCGACGGUAAACCCUUUGUGAAAACCCUUCGUUUGCCUCGGCGGCACGUCCCCUCACGGGGGUGGUCAGCCCGCCGACGGCACCAACCAAAACUCUUUUUUUUGAAUUGAAGAAUGUCUGAAUCAAUGGUCGAAUGACUAUA
rnacentral:misc_RNA from 1 species